UACGUAGGGUGCGAGCGUUGUCCGGAAUUAUUGGGCGUAAAGAGCUUGUAGGCGGUUUGUCGCGUCUGCUGUGAAAACUGGAGGCUCAACCUCCAGCCUGCAGCGGGUACGGGCAAACUAGAGUGCGGUAGGGGAGAUUGGAAUUCCUGGUGUAGCGGUGGAAUGCGCAGAUAUCAGGAGGAACACCGAUGGCGAAGGCAGAUCUCUGGGCCGUAACUGACGCUGAGGAGCGAAAGCAUGGGGAGCGAACAGG
rnacentral:rRNA from 1 species